rnacentral:tRNA from 1 species
GCGGGGGUACCCGAGCCAGGUCUAAAUAGUGGGGUUAAGCGUCUGCCUCCUAGGAUACGGGGGAGGACUUAAGAUCCUCUGGCGAAGGCCUUCGUGGGUUCAAGUCCCACCCCCCGCACCA